AGAGCCAAACUCAGAGUCCCAAGUGAUGGAGCAGAGCAGUGACACAUGCAAGACAGCACAAGUCUUGGAAAUCCAAGAUGAUGAAAUGAAUAGUCAGAUUACAGUAUCAUCCAAUGAUGAAAAUAGCCAAUCUAUGGGAGAUAUUGCUGAUCCAAGAGAGGGUGAUGAAAAAUGAAGCCGUGAAGUAGGACAAGUGGGACACUCUUCCAGUAGUAGCAGAUGAGAUCGCACUUGGAGCGUUACUCUUAGGGCUUGCAGGCUGUGUGAUUUAGGGGUUUAUCUGAUUCUUGUUAUCAGUUGAAAAGGGUUUUGAUGAAAUACUUUACAUUUUGGAAUUGCUUUUAGUAGCUUCUAUUUUUGUUCAAAAUGCUAAACCUAGCUUCAGGCUACAUUUAUUUUUUUUUUCAUUUGCUAAUGGUCUUUCACAAAUUCAAAGUUUUCAAAGCUGAUAAUAAAAAAUACUUUAGUUUACAUGCAUAAGAUAUUAAUUGAGUUUUGAAAGUCAGUUUGUAAUUUGGCUUGACCACUUGUUAUCCCAUGACACAAUUUAACAACGGCCUUCCAUUCAAAGAAAUCACUGAAUGUGUAUAUGGACAAGCCUCAAGAUGUUUCUUUAUGUGAUUAGAACAUUUCUUUAAGUUUGAAAAUAAAAAUUAAUAA